AACGCACCUUGCGCUCCUUGGUAUUCCGAAAAGCAUGCCUGUUUGAGCGUCAUUAAAUUCUCAACCCUUUGAAUUUUUUUUGAAGGGCUUGGAUUUGGAGUGUUGCUGUGGUUGCACAGCUCCUCUUAAAUGCAUUAGCUUGUACUGCAGAUAGGCUUUGGUUUGAUAAUAUCUAUGCCAUCGCCGUGAAGCAAAUGUCAGGCUUCUAACAGUCUCUUAAGACAAUUUUUUGACAUUUGACCUCAAAUCAGGUAGGACUACCCGCUGAACUUAA
rnacentral:misc_RNA from 1 species